rnacentral:rRNA from 1 species
AGUGAACGCUGGCGGUAGGCCUAACACAUGCAAGUCGAACGGCAGCACAGUAAGAGCUUGCUCUUACGGGUGGCGAGUGGCGGACGGGUGAGGAAUACAUCGGAAUCUGCUUUUUCGUGGGGGAUAACGUAGGGAAACUUACGCUAAUACCGCAUACGACCUACGGGUGAAAGCAGGGGAUCUUCGGACCUUGCGCGAUUGAAUGAGCCGAUGUCGGAUUAGCUAGUUGGCGGGGUAAAGGCCCACCAAGGCGACGAUCCGUAGCUGGUCUGAGAGGAUGAUCAGCCACAAUGGAACUGAGACACGGUCCAGACUCCUACGGGAGGCAGCAGUGGGGAAUAUUGGACAAUGGGCGCAAGCCUGAUCCAGCCAUACCGCAUGGAUGAAGAAGGCCUUCGGGUUGUAAAGCCCUUUUGUUGGGAAAGAAAAGCAGCAGGUUAAUACCCCGCUGUUCUGACGGUACCCAAAGAAUAAGCACCGGCUAACUUCGUG